rnacentral:lncRNA from 1 species
UCUCAAAUCGACCAAUUAGUGCAUGUGAUUCAAGCCACAAACCCUCAUCUUUAUGGAUGCCUUCUUAGGUUAUAUUCAAAUUUUGAUUGCUCUCAAGGAUGAGAAAAAAACUGCUUUUACAACUGACCAUGGGCUUUUUUAUUAAAGGAUCAUGCUGUUCGGCCUAAAAAAUACAAGAGUGAUUAGCCAAUGGCUAACAAGCA